rnacentral:rRNA from 1 species
CUCUCUGUGACUCCUACGGGAGGCAUCAGUGGGGAAUAUUGCACAAUGGGGGAAACCCUGAUGCAGCCAUGCCGCGUGUGUGAAGAAGGCCUUCGGGUUGUAAAGCACUUUCAGUAGGGAGGAAGGUAGUGUAGUUAACACCUGCAUUAUUUGACGUUACCUACAGAAGAAGCACCGGCUAACUCCGUGCCAGCAGCCGCGGUAAUACGGAGGGUGCGAGCGUUAAUCGGAAUUACUGGGCGUAAAGCGCAUGCAGGCGGCCUGUUAAGUCAGAUGUGAAAGCCCCGGGCUUAACCUCGGAAUUGCAUUUGAAACUGGCAGGCUAGAGUCUUGUAGAGGGGGUAGAAUUUCAGGUGUAGCGGUGAAAUGCGUAGAGAUCUGAAGGAAUACCAGUGGCGAAGGCGGCCCCCUGGACAAAGACUGACGCUCAGAUGCGAAAGCGUGGGGAGCAAACAGGAUUAGAUACCCUGGGAG